AAUGUAUGAUGCCGUUGAUUUUUUAUUCAACGUUUGACCAUUCGUCGUAUUCAAAAAAUUUAUGUAAUUAUCAUUUAUUUUAUUGUGACUUGAUUCAUCAUCAUAUGUUCUUUAAGCAUGACAUAAAUGUUUUCAUAUUUGCAAAAAAAUUUUUGAAUAAAACGAAUGGUCAAACGUUGGCCAAAAAGUCAACGGCGUCAUACAUU
rnacentral:pre_miRNA from 1 species